CUGUAUUUUUAUUAAUGAGUUUUAAGGAAAAAAAUUUUUAAAUAUAUAUUCAGAUAUAUGUCCUUUGGAGCCCUGGUGGCACAGUGGUUAAGAGCUACAGCGAGCUACAGCUGCUAACCAAAAGGUUGGCCAUUUGAAUCCACCAGCUACUCUUUGGAAACCCUACGGGGUGGUUCUACUCUUUCCUGUAGGGUUGCUAUGAGUCAGAAUAAGCUCGAUGGUAAUGUCCUUUGUCAGUUUUCUCUCAUUCUGUAACUUGACUUUUCAGUCUCUAAAUUGGGUUUUGUUUUGUUUAAUCAACUUUAUUAUAUCUUAACAAUCUUGACUCUUGAUGCAUGAACAUGGAAUAGUAUAUCCAGGGACAUAUUAACCAAUAAGCAAGGGAACCACAUGCUUAGAGCAUCAACAAAACAAGGGUACCUGUUGUCCAAAGCAAAGACAAUAGAGGCCAAGCAGACAGGACACAAGGAAAAGUGGGCACCACAGUGGAAGGGAACUGGCAGGGCUCUAAGUGAAAUUGAUACUCUUUUAUAAAUUUUGUAUAACAAUUAUAACUUCCUUUUCAUUUUGGACUGAUUGGGUAUAACCUCACAUUAGUUCUCUUGUCAACUGCAUCAGAACACAGCAGUGGCACUAUAAUCACAUGACUCAAGAUGUAUCUGGUCCUGUGUAAGCAAACCAAAACACGUCUUCGGAUUCAGCAUACCCUUGUAUUUGUACCACGCUCUUUGCAAUCAUUCUCGCCCCCAUCAGGUAUCAGCAGUAGUCCAAAGGACUGUGAAGAACACGUUAUCAAAGGACAGAAAGUGAAUGUGUAAGUGUUUAAGUACUAUUUCCAGAUGAAAAACACUCAUAGAGACCUGCGAAGGGCCCACCAACAAACAUCGUACAACAAACAAAUGAAAUUAUUUCUGACUGCCUUCCCUACCUUGUGGAUGACACCUGUGACUGGUGAUUGCCUUUGUUUCUGUAGGUCUAAACCCACUGCCAUCGAGUCAGUUCUACUCAUAGCCAUCCAGUAAGACAGAGUAGAACUGCCCACAGGAUUUCUCAGGCUGUAAUUUUUACUGGAACAGAUCGCCAGGCCUUUUCUUCCUCCACAUGCUGGUGGGUUCGAACUGCCAGCCUUUUGGUUAGUAGCUAAGCGCUUCAACCACUGUGCCACCAGGGCUCCUUCUCUGCAGGUCUAGCUCUUCUAAUUCUUGUAACUGAAUGAGAUAUUGAACAUAAGGACUUGUAACAAUCCAUACCUCUUGUAAUGGAUUGAAUUGUGUCCCCCCCAAAUAUGUGUCAACUUGGUUAGGCCAUGUGUGGUUGUCCUCCAUUUUGUGAUUUUCUGUGUGUUAUAAAUCACAAUCUCUGCCUGUGUUUAAAAAGGAUUAGGGUGGGAAUAACACUCUUGCUCAGGUCACAUCCCUGAUCCAAUGUAAAGGGAGUUUCCCUUGAUUGUGGUCUGCACCACUUUUUAUCUUACAAGAGAUAAAAGGAAAGGGAAGCAAGCAGUGAGUUGGGGACCUCUUACCACCAAGAAAGCAGUGCUAGGAGCAGAGUGCAUUCUUUGGUCCUGAGGUUCCUGCACUGAGACGGUCCCAAAGACAGAUGACAAGGACCUUCCUCCAGAGCCAACAGAGAGAGAGAAAGUCUUCCCCUGAAGCUGACACCCUGGACUGUAAGAGAAUAAACUUCUCUUUGUUAAAGCCAUCCACUUGUAGUAUUUCUGUUUUAGCAGCACUAGAUGACUAAGACAGAAUUUGGUACUGGGAGUGAGAUGCAGCUCUAACAGAUACCCAAAAUGUGGAAGUGGUUUUGAAACUGUGAAUGGAUAGAAGACUCAGAAGGAAGUGAGGAGGAUUGUUAAUACCCCCAGAAGGUGCAGAUUGUGAGAAACAACAGCAGAGGACCGGCAGCAGCAGAACCAGGAGACCAGCACCACACAGAGCUGGAACAAGAGAGCUAAGCUCCUGUGUGCAGGAAGCUUUCUGGCGGAGUGAGGUGCCUCUGGGCACUUAUCUGUGGAGCUAGUCUUGUCGACCUGUGGAGCAAGAAAGCUGAGUGCCUGUCACAGGAGACUUCCUGGCAGAGUGGCUUGCCUCCAGGCACUUAUCAGUGGAGCUACAGAGCUUUGGAACACUUGCCCCAGCAGGGCAGAUGUGGGUGUGAGGCCCGAGAUGCCAAGAGGCCAAGAAACCAGAAGCUGAAGAGACAAGGAACACAGGAAGCCGAGCUGCCUCAUUCUCAAAAAGUAUGGCCUGGAUCUCUGCAGUUUCAAAGGGUGGAGCCAUGGCCUCUAGUGUUUCUAAGUGGAGUUGCCACUCAGAUGGACUAGGAGAAUGGUGCACCUAAAGCCGAGAGAGCAGAGUUAACUUCCCAGUGGGCCUGGAAGGCGGAGCUGAUGCCCAGGGCCAAGUGACCUCCACUCAGAAUCUGGAGAGUAUGGCCAAUACCUAGAGUCUGGAGGACAGGGCUAUUGUAUAAAUGGUCUCGGAGAACAGAGGAUUAUUUUCAAAGCCUUGGGGGCUAAUGCAACGUGUUCUGCUGACUUGCUUGGUGCCUGUUAUCCCUAUUUCCCCUCCAGUUUCUCUCAUUUGUAAUGGAAAUGUCUAACUUGUGCCUGUUCUGCCAUUGUACCUUCGGAAGCAGAUCACUUAUAUUCAGGAUUUCACAGAUGAAGAGGAAUUUUUGGAUUUUGGACUUGGAGCUAGGACAUUUGCUAUGAUAUGAUGAAAUGAAUAUGUUUUAUGUGUUGCAAGGAUGUGAUGUUUGGGGGCCAAAGGGUGGAAUGUCCUGGGUUGAAUUAUGUCCCCCCAAAAUGUGUGCAUUAACUUGGUUAGGCCAUGAUUCCCAGUAUUCUGUGGUUGUCCUCUAUUUUGAGAUUGUAAUUUUAUGUUAAAGAAGAUUAGAGUGGGAUUGUAACACCCUUACCAGGUUACAUUCCUGAUCCAAUAUUAAGGGAGGUUCCCUGGGGUGUGGCCUGCACCAACUUUUAUCUCUCAAAAAAUAAAAGGAAAGGGAAGUAACUCGAGAGUUGGGAACCUCAUACCACCAAGAAAGCAGCCCCGGGGAGCAGAGCGUGUCCUUUGGACCGAAGGUUCCUGUGCUAAGAUGCUCCCAGACCAAGGGAAGAUGGAUGACAAGGACCUUCCUCCAAAGCUAACAGAGAGAAAGCCUUCCCAUGGAGCUGACACCCUGAAUUUGGACUUGUAGCCCACUGUGAGAGAAUAAACUUCUCUUUGUUAAAGCCAUCCACUUGUUAUAGCAGUGCUAGAUGACUAAGACAGUGACAUUGGUUGCAAUCCCCACAUUGUGUCAGCACUGUACUCGUUUCUCUUUCCAAGUGUGUUUAUUUUGCCAAAAUAUUUUGCAAGAUGGCAUAAGUCUGACAACAGCUUGUCUUUACAGAAAAAAAAAAAAAAAUUCACAGAUUUGGAUUGUUCAUAUUUGCAGGCUAUUUUUAAGUAUAUCUCUUAAAUACUUGGCGAGAAAUUAAGCAAGGAAUUCUGUGCUAUAAGAGAUUUUAAUGAUUUAAUAGUUCUACCCUGAGAAUGCUCGAAAAAUAUCCAUAAAACUCUGCCCAUCCCUGCAAUGUGACUUUGCAGCCCUUCCCAUCAAGAGGCAGAAUCUAUUUCUCCAAUCCUUGCGUGUGGGCUUGGCUAGGUGACCUGCUUUGGCCAAUAAGACAUCAGCAAUGAUGAUACAAGCAAAGGCUUGAAAGUGCUUAUGCAUUGGGCUUGCUCUCCCUUUCUGCAGUUGGGAACCCUAAGGCUGCCAGAUGUGAAGAAACCCAAAUUAGCCUGUUGGAGGAUGAGAAACCAUGCAGAGCAAAAUUAUUCCAGCUGAGCCCCCUACCCCCACCCCACACCAACUCUCCUGCCAGCUGGUAGACUUGGGAGUGAAGGACAUCCUAGACCUCCAGCCCCAGUUUAGCCAGCUCAAACCAGAAAAGCCACUCAGCCAACUCUCGGAAUCUCAAGAAUGAAGGUUGCUGUUUGAAGCCACUAAGUUUCAGGGUGUUUUGUUAACACAAACGCUGACAAUUACACUCCAUCUCAAAUACCAAGUAUUGUACCAAAACUCUUUAUUUUGAAUUGAAUUAUGGUUCUCCCAACAAUACACCUAACCCCAAUUCCUGUGGAUGUAAUCCGGUCUGGAAAUAAAGUUUUCUUUGUUAUGUUAAUGAGUCCAUAUCAGUGUAGGGCGUGUCCUAAACCUAAUCACAACUGAGUUAUGAGGCACAGCAUAUACAAAGAAGCAGGCACAAAUGGGGGAAACUAGACACCGCAUGAAGAUCACCAAGGAACCGAGGACUGCUGGAGAUGCUAGAAGCUGAAAGAGACAAGAAUCUUCCCCCAGAGCUGACAGAGGACCUUCUCCUGUAGCCCCUUAAACCCCUUGCCAUUGAGUCAAUUCUGACUCAUAGCAACCCCAAAGGACAGAGUAGAACUGCCUCAUAGGGUUUUCAAGCCUGUAAUCUUUAUAGAAGCAGACUGCCACAUCUUUCUCCUGCAAAACGCCUGGUAGAUUCAAACUGCCAACCUUUUGGUUAACACCUGAGUGCUUAACCACUGAGCCAUCAGGGAUGCCCUAUAACCAGUGCCCUGAAUUUGGACGUCUAGUCUCCUGCUCUGUGAGAAAAUUAAUUUCUGUUCUUUAAAUCCACCCACUCAUGGUAUUUCCAUUGGUAUUUCCAUUACAGCAAAACUAGCAAACUAAGACAGUCCUGUAGUUCUAAAUUAACAUGAAGGUGACUUCCUGUAGCAUGUAACUGACUGUGGGUCCCAAAUUUUUUAAAAAUAAACCAAUGACUGAAGGAACCACUUUCAACCUUUCUGUAAAGAAAAAUUUUCGACUCUUCCCCAUUGGAAAGCACGCAUUUUCUGACUUACUGCCCCACUGAAGGCAUCGGUCUCAAUCUGUAUAUUCAAUUUCAGUAAAGCUUAGUUUAUAGUUUACAUUUUUAGAAAAACUAGAUCAAUAAAAAUAGAAUCUCUAAUAUUUUCUUCAUUUAUCUCUGUGUUGGAGCUCGGUAGAAAAUAAGGGCAAUGUCUAAUUUCGGCUUUCUUCUAUCUCAAACAGGCUACAGGGAAAAUAAAGGUAGGGAAGUUUCAUUUUCAUUUUCACUAAAUAUCUAUACUAUUCAUUUGAGAUUGAAUUGACGCCCAUAAGUGAAUUCUAAGUACCUCUUGGGGUUUUCACUGAAAGUAGCGAAAUAAGAUAUGAACACUGUGCUCACAAUUCUGUGGUCAUUAUGUUGAAAGUCCUUUUUUUUUUUUUUUAAAUCUUUAGGGACUUUGAUUGGCCAGCCUUUCUGGUUUUCCAGGGAUUGAGAGGAAAGUCCUGGCAAACCAGGGUGAAUUUGUCACCCUAAAUGAUCGUUGACCAAACUUUCAAAGGACUAGGGUAUCUUGGCACGUGUCAUGGAUUGAAUUGUGUCCCCCCAAAAUGUGUGUCAACUUGGCUACUCCAUGAUUCCCAGUAUUGUGUGGUUGUCCACCAUUUUGUGGUCUGAUGUGAUUAUCCUAUUUUUGUAAAUCCUAACCUCUAUGAUGUUAAUGAAAACAGGAUUAGAGGCAAUUAUGUUAAUGAGGCAGGACUCAAUCCACAGGAUUAGGUUGUAUGUUGAGCCAAUCUCUUUUGAGAUAUAGAAGAAAGAAGCAAGCAGAGAGACAUGGGACCUCGUGCCACCAAGAAAGAAGAACCAAGAGGGGAGGGUGUCCUUGCAUUGAGAAGCUCCUAGACCCGGUGAAGAUUGAUGACAAGGACCUUCCACUAGAGCUGACUGAGAAAAAAAGCCUUCCCCUAGAGCUGGCACUCUGAAUUCAGACUUCUAGCCUCCUAGACUGUAAGAGAAUCAAUUUCUCUUUGUUAAAGUCAUCCACGUGUGGUAUUUUUGUUACAGCAGCACUAGGUCACUAAGACGGUACAUUUUUUUGCCGAGUGGCUUUUGUUUCACCUUUUCUACACAAGAUCUCUGAGGAAACUGAGAAGGCUGGGAAGUACAAAGUAGAGGAAAGUUGGGUAGUUUUUGGUUCUCUAAAUGUUUUUAGAAAGAGAAUACCACAAACCUUUGCUGAAACAAUACUUCAGUAUUUUUGAAUAGUAGU